UCUUCCCUCUGGCUUCGUGCCUAAUACAUGCAAGUCGAGCGAACAGACGUUGAGCUUGAUCCUCUGACGUUAGCGGCGGACGAGUGGGUGGUAAGUGGAUAACCACUCUAUAAGACUGGGGUAAAUUCGGGAAACCGGCGCUAUUACCGGAUCAUAUAUUGAGCGGCAUGGUUAAAUAGUGAUAGACGGUUUUUGUGUCACUGAUCGAUUGAUCUGCGCCGUAUUAGCUAGUUGGUCAGGUAACGGAUUACCAAGCCAACUAUGCGUAGGCGACCUGAAAGGUGGGUCGGCCACCCGGGAACUUAGACACGGACCAGACUCCUACGGGAGGCAGCAGUAGGGAAUCUGCCGCAGUGGUCGAAAACCUGACGGAGCGACGCCGCGUGAGUUAUGACGGUCUUCGGUUCGUAAAACUCUCUUACGAGGUAAGAACAAAUGUGUAAGUAACUAUGCACGUCUUGACGGUACCUAAACAGAAAGCCACGGCUAACUACGUG
rnacentral:rRNA from 1 species